rnacentral:rRNA from 1 species
UACGGAGGGUGCAAACGUUGCUCGGAAUUAUUGGGCGUAAAGCGCACGUAGGCGGUCUAGCAAGUCGGGUGUGAAAGCCCUCAGCUUAACUGAGGAAGUGCAUUCGAAACUACUAGGCUUGAGUACUGAAGAGGACGACGGAAUUCCCGGUGUAGAGGUGAAAUUCGUAGAUAUCGGGAGGAACACCAGGUGCGAAGGCGGUCGUCUGGGCAGAUACUGACGCUGAGGUGCGAAAGCGUGGGGAGCAAACAGG